UGCAGUCGACGAUUAAACUUGCCUUCGGGCAAGAUAUAAAGUGGCGCACGGGUGAGUAACACGUAAGUAAUCUACCUUCGAGUGGGGAAUAACGUCCGGAAACGGACGCUAAUACCGCAUAAUGCAGCGGCAUCGCAAGAUGACAGUUGUUAAAGAAUUUAUUCGCUUGAAGAGGAGCUUGCGGCAGAUUAGCUAGUUGGUAAGGUAAUGGCUUACCAAGGCUACGAUCUGUAACCGGUCUUAGAGGACGGUCGGUCACACUGACACUGAAUAACGGGUCAGACUCCUACGGGAGGCAGCAGUCGGGAAUUUUGGGCAAUGGGCGAAAGCCUGACCCAGCAACGCCGCGUGAAGGAUGAAGUAUUUCGGUAUGUAAACUUCGAAAGAAUGGGAAGAAUCAAUGACGGUACCAUUUAUAAGGUCCGGCUAACUACGUGCCAGCAGCCGCGGUAAUACGUAGGGACCAAGCGUUGUUCGGAUUUACUGGGCGUAAAGGGCGCGUAGGCGGCAAUUCAAGUCAUCUGUGAAAUCUCCGGGCUUAACUCGGAACGGUCAGAUGAUACUGCUUUGCUAGAGUGCAGAAGGGGCAAUCGGAAUUCUCGGUGUAGCGGUGAAAUGCGUAGAUAUCGAGAGGAACACCUGAGGUGAAGACGGGUUGCUGGGCUGACACUGACGCUGAGGCGCGAAAGCCAGGGAGCAAACGGGAUUAGAUACCCCGGUAGUCCUGGCCCUAAACGAUGAAUACUUGGUGUCU
rnacentral:rRNA from 1 species